AACGAACGCUGGCGGCAUGCCUAACACAUGCAAGUCGAACGACACCUCAGUAAGUGCUUGCUCACAGGUGCGUCGCGUGGCGGACGCGGGAGGUAUAUUCCGGAUUAUUCUCUUUCGUGGGGGCUAACGCAGGGUAAUUUCCGCUGAUAAAGCAUAUAUCCUACGGGUAUAGGCACGCGAUCUUUUAACCUUGUGCGAUUGUAUGAGCCGAGGUCGGAUGAGCUCGUUGGCGGGGUAAAGGCGCACCAAGGCGACGAUCCGUAGCUGGCCUGAGAGGAGGAGCAGCCACACUGGAACUGAGACACGGUCCAGACACCGACGGGAGGCAGCAGUGGGGAAUAUUGGACGAUGGGCGCAAGCCUGAUCCAGCCAUACCGCGUGGGUGAAGAAGGCCUUCGGGUUGGAAAGCCCUUUUGUUGGGAAAGAAAAGCAGCAGGUUAAUACCCCGCUGUUCUGACGGUGCCCAAAGAAUAAGCACCGGCUAACUUCGUG
rnacentral:rRNA from 1 species